rnacentral:lncRNA from 1 species
UUUUUUUUUUUUUUUUUUUGAGAUGGAGUUUUGCUCUUGUUGCCCAGGCUUGUGCAAGAUUGUGCAAUGGCACAAUCUUGGCUCAACGCAACCUCCGCCUCCCGAGUUCAGGCGAUUCUCCUGCCUCAGCCUCCCGAGUAGCUGAGAUUACAGGCAUGUGCCACCAUGUCCGGCUAAUUUUGUAUUUUCACACUUUGGGAGGCUGAGGCAGAUGGAUCACUUGAGGUCAGGAGUUUGAGACCAGCCUGGCCAACAUGGUAAAACCCCAUCUCUAUUAGAGAUAGGAAAAAAAUUAGCUGGGUGUGGUGGUGCACACUCUUAGUCCCAGCUACUUGGGAGGCUGAGGUGGGAGAAUUGCUUGAACCUGUGAGAUGGAGGUUGUAGUGAGCUGAGAUGGUGCCACUGCACUCCAGCCUGGGUAACAGAGUGAGACUGUCUCUCAAAAAGUAAAAAAUAAAAAGCUAUUAAUAAAUUAUUUUGAGGUGGGGUCUCAUUCUGCUGCCCAGACUGGAGUUCAGUGGUGUGAUCAUGGUUCACUGCAGCCUCAAACUCCUGGGCUCAGGGGAUCCUCCUGCCUCAGCCUUUUGAGUAGAUGGGACUGCAGGUGAAAGUUUACUUUUGAAGGAGGAGGGUCUCACUAUGUUGGCUGGUCUCCAACUCCUGGCCUCAAGUGAUCCUCCCACCUUGGUCACCCAAAGUGCUGGGGUUACAUGCGUGAGCCACUGUGCCUGGCCAAAACCUGCUUAUUUAAACAGCUUCAUUGAUUAUUCCUUAACAGAUUGAAUGGUCUCCAUGUAAUUUCUCCUGACUUUUCAGGAUUCAUAUUAAUUAAAGUUGGACAAUGAAGAGAAAGGACAUGUUGAUCAUUUUGUUACUGGUCUAGCCUACCGCUCAUGAAGAGCCCCUGAAAGUUCAGUGACAGAUUGGGUAUCAAAUUUCUUUCAGAGUAGAUUGAUUAUCUUAGAACCUAGUGGACUAUAGAUAAAUAAUCUAAAACAGGGGUUUCCAGGCUGAGGUUUUGACCCUGGAGUCCAGGAGUGUUAAUGGAGGUGUGAAUCUUAAAACUUUAUUAUUUUUAAAAGUCCUAUAUUAAUUGCUAGCUAGUUAAUGCAUCAAUAAUUUGCUUUUGGUUAGAAUUCGGUUAUCUCAGUUUGGGAAAACAAGCUUUCUUGUUCUGAUCAGAAGCUCUGAUUAGUGGCUGACAUUGUAGGAAUUGUUGGAUUUGAUAAUUGGAUCAAAUUCUGGUACCAUAGCUACUGUGAUCAGCCACAAUAGUCUUUUUUUUUUUUUUUUUUAGACGGAGUAUUGCUCUGUUGCCCAGGCUGGAGUUCAGUGGCACGAUCUUGGCUCACUGCAACCUCCGCCUCCCAGGUUCACGCCAUUCUCCUGCCUCAGCCUCCCGAGUUGCUGGGACUACAGGUGCCAGCCACCACACCUGGCUAAUUUUUUGUAUUUUUAGUAGACACUGGGUUUCACCAUGUUAGUCAGGAUGGUCUCGAUCUCCGGACCUCAUGAUCCACCCGCCUCGGCCUCCCAAAGUGCUGGGAUUAACAGACGUGAGCCACCGCACCUGGCCUAGCCACAAUAUUCAUACUGGACAGAUGCUAUAUGUGAUCUUCUUUGGCUAUGGAUAUGCAGUGGCAGCAGACAUUAGCAGAAAUACACAGGAAGGGAACACCUCAUGGUGGUGUUAACAGCAAGCCCUUGGCUUUUAGUGGACAGAUUCCUAGGAAGAAAAUACUUUGUAAAUAUUGUGACCCUGUAUGCAUACACACGAAUCCAGUGGAAACAGAAGUUGCAUAAAAACAGUUCUUUCAAAUGUGCAAUUCUAUCAUAUGUUCUUUUUUUUUUUUUUUUUUACUUUUUUUUGAGACGGAGUCUUGCUCUGUUGCCCAGGCUAGAAUGCAGUGUCGUGAUCUGGGCUCACUGCAACCUCCGCCUCUGAGUUUCAAGCGAUUCUCCUGCCUCAGCCUCCCAAGUAGCAGGGACUACGGUUGUGCGCCACCAUACCUGGCUAAUUUUUGUGUUUUUAGUAGAGACGGGGUUUCACGAUAUUAGCCAGGCUCGUCUUGAACUCCUGACCUCAAGUGAUCCACCUGCCUUGGCCUCCCAGAGUGCUGGGAUUACAGGCAUGAGCCACCACCCUGGCCCUUUUUUGUUUUUUUAAAUAAAAAUAAUGCUGCUUGUCAGCCACAUUGAUUUCAGGAACCAUCAAUAGGAUGUGAUUCUGGUUUAAAGAAAAAGCACUGCUUUAGACUCAUUCAUGAUAUUUCAUGUCAGCAUUUUUUUUUAUGCCAGAGCCUCACUCUGCCCCUCUGAAUCUUAGUUUAAAACUCUUUUUACUAAUUUAUAUGAAGCAUUCAGUAAAUUCAUUUUGUAUUGAAGCUGAGGAAUUAGUUGAGUGCUAACUAGGUCAUUUUCCUGUGUGUUUUAGUUGGAGAUCUAUUAUAGUAAAAUAAUUCGAAUGGUAGUCAGAAAUAUUUGGUUGGUGAAAAGAUUAUUUUGGAUUAUGUUUGUUUGGGGAAAAAAUAUGCUGGCCUUGGUAUGCUGAGUGAAUUAGAGAGCUUUAUUUACUUUAUUUUCUCAAGGGUCUCUCCCCUGACACUCCCUGCCCCUGCCUCCCUCACUUCACCCAGAAUUUAAGCUUCUUAAGGCUGAUUGGUGCUAUAAGCUUCCUGUGCUAUAUCCCUUGUAAUAGUGCCUGGCACACAGCAUAGUAGUGUCUUAACGUAGUAGUAGCUUCUCACGUUGUUCUUUUUGAGCUCUUCUGUACUGAUAAACCAUCAGACUCUUGAGAACAGAAUGUGUGUGUGUGUGUGUGUGUGUGUGUUGUUUGUGUGUGUGGGGGGGUGUCUGUGUGUUCAUUGUCUGGCGGGUGGUCAGGGCACAUCAGUUUUUUGUUUUUGUUUCUUUUUUUUUUUUUUUUUGAGAUGGAGUCUUGUUCUGUUGUCCAGGCUGGAGCAACAGAUCUCGGCUCACUGCAGCCUCUGCCUCUUGGGGUCAAGCGAUUCUCCUGCCUCAGCCUCCUGAGUAGCUGGGAUUACAGGCGCCAGCCAUCGUGCCCAGCUAAUUUUUGUAUUUUUAGUGGAGAUGGGGUUUUGCCAUGUUGGCCAGGCCAGUCUUGAACUUCUGACCUCAGGUAAUCCCACCCUCCUCGGACUCCCAGAGUGCUGGGAUUACAGUCGUGAGCCACCGCACCCAGCCAAUAAUUUUUUAAAUUUUUUUUUGCGGAGAUGGGGGUCUUCCUAUUCUGCCUCAGCUUGUCUUGAACUCCUGGCCUCAAGAGAUCCUCCUCCCUUGGCCUCUCAAAGUUUUGGGAUUACAAGCAUGAGCCACCACACCUGGCUCAUUUUUAACUUUUAUCUUCAACUGUAAUUUCAGUGUCAUCACAUGACUAAGAUUAUACAAGAAGUUAUCUUGUGAGCAUUUGGGACAAUAAACAGAAUUGGCCAGGCACAGUGGCUUAUGCCUAUAAUCCCACCACUUUGAGAGGCUGAGGUGGGAGGAUCGUUUGAGCUCAGGAGUUCUGGACCAGCCUGGGCAACAAAGCGAGAUCUGUCUCUACAGAAAAUGAAAAAAAUUAGCUGAGUCCAGGUGGCACACGUCUGUAGUUCCACCCACUUGGGAGGCUGAGACAGGAGGAACACUUGAGCUGCAGUGAGCUGUGGUAGUGCCACUGUAUUCCAUCCUGGGCAAGAGAGCAAGACCCUGUCUCAAAAAAAGCAGAAUUAUAAAGUUGGUAUGGACUUGUGCAUACAAACAUUGGCACACUGUCUGAGUGUUCCAUUCUGUUUAAAAGUAUAGUCACCACAUUGUUGAAAGAUACAAAUUUAAUGCAAAAUAAUAUUUUUGAGGCAUGCAACUCAUUUUACAGGUUGAGAAAAUAAGGAGAAAUUGACUGGCUUUCCCGAUUUUCUUGAGCAGUUGAAAGCUUAAGGCAAAGGAUGCGAUGCAAACUUUUGUGUACUCAGAAUCUUUGUAUUUGCUAAAAUUAGAGAAGGGGACCAGGCACUGCAAAGUCUGAAAACUACUGUUCUGUGAAAUUAGGAGUGAAAUUUAGUGAAUCAGACUUGUGUGCUGUACCUGAGGCAGUGUAUAUAUGUAAAGUAGGCUCUUGAUAAAACUGUGGUGAUUGCUUGAAACAUUGAAGGUUUGUGUAUAGGAGAAAGGCAUGAUGAAUUCAGUGUUUCAGAUGGAUUUUUGUCCUUAGCAAUUUGGUUGUAUUGUUAGUAUAUAUUGAAUAACAAUAGGCAAAUUAUUUGUCUUCUCUACCUCAGUUCCUCUCUCUUGCACCCUCCUUUCCCAAACUCUUUGUCUGUCCUCCCUCUCCACCCUGGAUGUGAGAUGAGUGUGUUUUGGGGACUAAGUACUUUAAGUUGUGUUGUUCUGUUAGCAUACCUCAAGUCAGUACUGCAGUGAGUACAAAUCUCAUUCAUUACUUUUAUAAAGGACAAGGCUCUUCUUUCUCUGCAUUUGGUCAUAAAUCUAGAUCUUUACUCAUCCCAAGUAAAGCGUAGAGGAUAGUUGUAAUGACUUCUUUGAGGAUUGGUUCUUUCUGUCAUGGUCAAUAACUUUUCAGUCUCACAUGUCAAGUUUUCUGCUAUCAGAGAAAGCUGUUGUAUCAUUUUUGCUUAAAUAUUUUUUUCUUUUUUUGAGACGGGGUCUCACUGUGACACCCAGGCUGGAGUGCAGUGGUGCAACAUUGGUUCACUGCAGCCUUGACCUCCCAGGCUGCCAUCUCAGUCUCCUGAGUAGCUGGGACUACAGGUGUGCACCACCAGGCCUGGCUAAUUUUUGUAUUUUUUGUAGAGACAGGGUCUUACUGGGUGGUCUUGAACUCCUGGGCUCAAACAAUCCACCUGUAUCGGCCUCCCAAAAUGCUAGGAUUAAAGGUGUGAUUGCUGAGUGUUUUUGGCAACCUAUGUUGAAGGAGAGUCAGGAGGUAUUUUGCCUUGACUGCCCCUCUCUUAGCUUGGGCUGCUAUAACAAAGCACCAUAGACUGGGGGAUUAAACAGUAGAAAUGUAUCUUCUCAAAGUUCUGGAGGCUGAAAGUCUGAGAUCAGGAUGUGAGCAGGGCUGGUUCCUGGAGAGCCUCUCCUCUCGACUUGUAGAUGGCUGUCUUUUCUCUCUGUCCUUACAGUCAUUCUUCUGUCUGUGUUGUCUGUGUCCUAAUCUUCGUUUAAAAGAAUACCAGUUAGAUUGGAUUAGGACCCUAAAUCUAAAUAGACUCACAUUGUGAGGUACUGGAGGUUAGGACUUAAACUUAUGAAUUUUUGAGGGGACACAUUUCAGCCCAUGACAGCCGCCAAGAGACUGUUGUGAUUUUGGCCAAGUAACUUUAUAGUUUGCAGGAUGUGAAGCUGAAGUGUAUAAGGUAUAGAUGCAGCCUGGUCACUGUAUUGUGAAGAGAUUUUUUGUUUUAGUUUUAUUUUAGGCUGGAUGUUUGUUUCAAAUAUAAUUGUUCUUUUUUUUUUUCUCAUUUUCUUCUUGCUUGACCUUUAUUUCUGAAACACCAUCAGUACUUGACCAUUCAAAGAAAAGUUAAAAACGCCUUUUCAGAACCAGUUUUACUCAACAGAUUUGUAAAUGGAAAGAUUAUUUUCGCAUCCUCUACGAGGUCAUAAAUGAAGGAUUGAUAUUUUUCUGUAGCUUUAACAUAUGAGUUAUUUCAAAGAGUGUAAGUAACAACACUUUUUUUUUGCAUUUGACUUCAGUCAUUUUCCUCAUAUUUGUAGGAUAAAUAUCCUUGAUGUGACUCUUGAUUAGUGCUUUGUAUCCAUAUACGCUCCACCCAGCUUCAACAGUCAUCAACUUUCUGUUGUUUCAUCUGUUGUCCCUUAAAAUUUUUUUUGCAGUGGGCCAGGCACGAUGGCUCAUGCCUGUAAUCCCAGCACCUUGGGAGGCCGAGGCGGGUGGAUCACCUGAGGUCAGGAGUUUGAGUCUAGCCUGAUCAACAUGGCAAAACCCCGGCUCUACUAAAAUGACAAAAAUUAGCUGGACGUGGUGGAGUGCGCUUAUAGUCCCAGCUACUUGGGAGGUGGAGGCAGGAGAAUUGCUUGAACCCGGGAGGCGGAGGUUACAGUGCCUGCCUGGGCAAUAGAGUGAGACUCUGUCUCAAAACAAAAAAAAAAAAAAAAAAAA